UUUUAGUUGGGACGUAGUCCCAACUAGUGUACUUACAAACCCGAAAUUUCCAACCAUACAGGGUAACGCCCACUGCAGUGACGUUUCAUCACCAUUCUAUAUGCUAUAUUGUAUUCUAACAUUUUGCAGGUAUGUUGAAUUCAUAGUGUUCAUCCGACCAUGACUGACGCAUAACCGCCGCGAGUAAAAAAUAGUGCUCUGUAUUUCUGAAAACUUUGAUUUAUUGCGAAUAGAAGAGAGAUAAGAAAAUUAUUUUUUUUGAAAAUCAUUUGCAAUUGAGCUUGAAUAACGGUAUUAGAAAUGUAGCAGAUAUAAUUUGAAAGGUUGAUUAAUUCUAUGAAUGGAAUGUUAAUUGGUACAUAUGAGGCGAGUCACGACAAAACCAACAUAAUGGGUUUGCGACCAGCAUGAAUCAAGAUCAGGAUCCAUCCUGUUCGCUUACCAACUCUACUUCAAGUAGGGAAACUGAUAGCGAACAACAUGGAUUGCAGGCUGGUCUGGAUCCAUGCUGGUCGCACACGGACUAUUUUGGUUUUGUCGUGACACGGCUCAUAUGAAUUCGACAACUUCCGGUUUACUAUAUGACCUACUUGACAAGCAUAUCGACCUGUAUAGCCCAUAAGGGAAAUAAAAGAUCAUUUACUCCAAUAUUCACUUGGAAAGGCUGGUACAUGUAAUAAGCUAGAAAAAAGAAUAAGAUUAAAGAAUUUAGACAAGAAGAUGAUCACAAACAACAGGUGGACAUGUGUUACUGUCAAGCAAAUGAAGAUUAGCACCACAGUCUGUGGGAAUCUCCAGUUUCCAGAUGUAGUGAUCAUAACUGUAUAGGCACCGAUAUGAACACUUUGGACUACAUAUAGUUGGACUAUUUUAGAGGGGUAGUCUGAGUUACCACUUCAGUUGAAUCCCCUGUCAAGAACAUUGUGUUGAAGGAAAAUGUUAACUCUAGUUGUUUUGGCUUCAAACAAAACCAUGACACUUACCCAGCAGUGAUAGAUUAAACCAAUUGUGAUAUUUUGACUGUUUCCCCAAAAGUUUCCAUGAAUUGAAGCUCCUGGGACUUGUGUAACAUAUGACUGCACAUUCCAAAAUUUAUUAAAUAUUGUGUAAUGUUUAGCAAUGUUGUGUAAAUACAUUCAGAGCUAGUAUAACAUGUAUCUUAGCUUGCCUGGUUUGAUGAAAAGUAAUGAACCUGAGAA